AUUGAACGCUGGCGGCAUGCUUUACACAUGCAAGCCGAACGGUAACAGGCCGCAAGGUGCUGACGAGUGGCGAACGGGUGAGUAAUGCAUCGGAACGUGCCCAGUCGUGGGGGAUAACGCAGCGAAAGCUGCGCUAAUACCGCAUACGAUCUAUGGAUGAAAGCGGGGGACCGUAAGGCCUCGCGCGAUUGGAGCGGCCGAUGUCAGAUUAGGUAGUUGGUGGGGUAAAGGCUCACCAAGCCAACGAUCUGUAGCUGGUCUGAGAGGACGACCAGCCACACUGGGACUGAGAGACGGCCCAGGCUCCUAGGGGAGGCAGCAGUGGGGAAUUUUGGACAAUGGGCGCAAGCCUGAUCCAGCAAUGCCGCGUGCAGGAAGAAGGCCUUCGGGUUGUAAACUGCUUUUGUACGGAACGAAACGGUCCUGGUUAAUACCUGGGGCUAAUGACGGUACCGUAAGAAUAAGCACCGGCUAACUACGUGCCAGCAGCCGCCGCCGUAA
rnacentral:rRNA from 1 species